GACGAACGCUGGCGGCGUGCUUAACACAUGCAAGUCGAACGGAAAGGCCCUGCUUUUGUGGGGUGCUCGAGUGGCGAACGGGUGAGUAACACGUGAGUAACCUGCCCUUGACUUUGGGAUAACUUCAGGAAACUGGGGCUAAUACCGGAUAGGAGCUCCUGCUGCAUGGUGGGGGUUGGAAAGUUUCGGCGGUUGGGGAUGGACUCGCGGCUUAUCAGCUGGUUGGUGGGGUAGUGGCUUACCAAGGCUUUGACGGGUAGCCGGCCUGAGAGGGGGACCGGCCACACUGGGACUGAGAGACGGCCCAGACUCCUACGGGAGGCAGAAGAGGGGAAUAUUGCACAAUGGGCGGAAGCGUGAGGCAGCAACGCCGCGUGCGGGAUGACGGCCUUCGGGUUGUAAACCGCUUUCGCCUGUGACGAAGCGUGAGUGACGGUAAUGGGUAAAGAAGCACCGGCUAACUACGUG
rnacentral:rRNA from 1 species